ACGCUGGCGGCACGCCUAAUACAUGCAAGUCGAACGCAGUAGCAAUACUGAGUGGCAGACGGGUGAGUAUAAUGUGGGAAUCUGCCUUUUGGUUUGGAAUAACUUGGGGAAACUCGAGCUAAUACCGGAUAAGCCCUUACGGGGAAAGAUUUAUCGCCGAAAGAUGAGCCCGCACUUGAUUAGCUUGUUGGUGAGGUAAAAGCUCACCAAGGCAACGAUCAAUAGCUGUUCUUAGAGGAAGACCAGCCACAUUGGGACUGAGACACGGCCCAGACUCCUACGGGAGGCAGCAGUAGGGAAUCUUGCACAAUGGGGGAAACCCUGAUGCAGCGAUGCCGCGUGAGUGAAGAAGGCCUUUGGGUUGUAAAACUCUUUCGUCGGGGAAGAAAAUGACUGUACCCGAAUAAGAAGGUCCGGCUAACUUCGUGCCAGCAGCCGCGGUAAUACGAAGGGAUCUAGCGUAGUUCGGAAUUACUGGGCUUAAAGAGCUCGUAGGUGGUUAGAAAAGUUGAUGGUGAAAUCCCAAGGCUCAACCUUGGAACUGCCAUCAAAACUUUUUAGCUUGAGUGUGAUAGAGGAAAGUGGAAUUUCUAGUGUAGAGGUGAAAUUCGUAGAUAUUAGAAAGAACACCAAAAGCGAAGGCAACUUUCUGGAUCAUUACUGACACUGAGGAGCGAAAGCAUGGGUAGCGAAGAGGAUUAGAUACCCUCGUAGUCCAUGCUGUAAACGAUGUGUGCUAGACGUUGGAAAUUUAAUUUUCAGUGUCGCAGCAAAAGCGUUAAGCACACCGCCUGGGGAGUACGACCGCA
rnacentral:rRNA from 1 species